GCUCCGUUGGUCUAGUGGUAUGAUUCUCGCUUAGGGUUACCCUGAGUAUGUGUGCGAGAGGUCCCGUGUUCGAACCACGGAUGGAGCC